rnacentral:rRNA from 1 species
GUAGGAGGCGAGCGUUAUCCGGAUUACUGGGCGUAAAGCGUGUGCAGGGCGGUUUGGUAAGUCGGACGUGAAAGCUCCUGGGCUCAACUAGGAGAGGCCGUUCGAUACUGCCAGACUAGAGGGCAGCAGAGGGAGGUGGAAUUCCAGGUGUAGCGGCGAAAUGCGUAGAUAUCUGGAGGAACACCAGUGGCGAAAGCGGCCUCCUGGACUGUCCCUGACGCUAAGACACGAAAGCUAGGGGAGCAAACGGGAUUAGAAACCCCGGUAGUCCUAGCCGUAAACGAUGCAGACUUGGUGUUGGUGGUGUAAAAAUCAUCAGUGCCGUAGCUAACGCGAUAAGUCUGCCGCCUGGGGACUACGACCGCAAGGUUA